AUCAGAAUUAGGGAUGCAGAGGGAGGUCCUGUUGUGGUUCAGAGGGUUAAGAACCCAACUAGUAUCCUUGAGGAUGUGAGUUUGAUCUCUGGCUUCACGCUGUGGGUUAAGGAUCCAGGGUUGCCAACAACUGCAGAGUAGGUCGCAGAUGCGACUGGGAUCUGGCAUUGCUGUGGCUGUGGCAUAGGCUGGCAGCUGUAGCUCCAAUUCGACCCUCAGCCUGGGAACUUCCAUUUGCCGCAGGUGCAGGAAAAAGAAAAAUUAGGGAGGCAGAGGCUGGGGACUGGCAUAGGUGGAACAGGCUGCAAGGCCCCCUUAUCUCCCAGAUGCUUCACUGGCCCUGCUGCAGUGUUGGGAAGACCCAUCAUUAGUCUUUCCAUUGAGGCCACUGUAAAAGUGUAGAUGGUUUAUUACACUGAGGAGAGAGAGUAAAUCAUUGUGCUAGAGAGGGGCUGGGCCGGGAGAUGAGGCCAAGCUCACCAGUUCUCCUGUCCAGACCCCCCAGCUUGGAGGAAAGAUGCCCCCCAGCCAUCUCCUCUGUCUGUCCCAGGGACCUGGAGACACAGGGAGGAGGAGGAAAAGGAGGAGGAUGAAUAUGAGCUGCCCCCCUGUGAGGCUCUGCCCUUCCGCCGAGCCCCCGCCCACCUUCCUGGCACUGAGGACUCUUUGUACUUGGAUCACUCUGGCCCCCUGGGUCCUCCCACGUCACCACCACCACCACCACCACAGCCUCAGCCCGGGAUGGUGAACAG
rnacentral:lncRNA from 1 species